rnacentral:lncRNA from 1 species
UGUGGCGUAGUUUGGUGUCCUACGUAGUCCUACGCCCGACCACGGGCGUAGGAACCGCGGCGUCCCCGGUUUAUGGCGCGGCCCCGAAGGUCAGGGGCGUGGCCCUGCGCGGCCGGCGCUGGGUCGCGGCGGAGCGGGAGGCGGGCAGUGUGUUGGAGUCGGUUACCGGGAGCGGAGGCAAUAAAGGAGAGUGCACGUCUGAGGACUGUUGGAAGCGGGCAACAACACAACAUUGGCGCGGUCGAAGAUGGCGGAGGCAGAUCCCAGCGCGGAGGUAGCCGCGCUUCGAAGCGAGGUGGCUCAGCUACGAGCGGAGCUGGCCGCGGCCAAGGCGGAAUGGGCCUGUCCCAGAAAUGCAGCAGCGGCAGGGCCAAGCGAGCAACCAGCCGCCGACGAGGAUGACAUCCUCGGGCACCUUCUUCGUCCCGAGUCGCCGCUUCCGGACUGGGCUACAGGCGACGAAAUAGACCGCCUGCUACAGGAGGCGACCCACGGCGGAAGCGCUAUCUGGAACGGAGCGGAAGAGGCGAUGCGGGUGACCAUCGCCCCCGGAAACCCGCUCGGAGGCGGGCUCGGACAGCAGGCGGCGGCGGGGUCGGUCGAUAAGGGCGACGGCCCCCGAGCCGUCAUGGUCGUCCCGGGGUACCCGCUCGGAGGAGGGCGUGGAGGGCGGACGGCGGCAGGUGCGGUGACAGGAUCGGCCGAGGAUGGCACAGGCUCUGGAGUAGCUCCUGGCCACACGCAGUGCACGGUGCCGAGUGGCACGAGUCGCCGCGACGCGACCGGGGGGGCGUCGGGGUCGGUCGAUUGGGCCGACGACCCUAGCGCAGCCCCGGGUCGCACACUGCGUGUGAUUUUGGGAGAUUCCAUCGCCCGGGACGCCCCAUGGAGUGGUGGAGUCUUGUGCUUGGCGCGGGGUGGCAACACCUGGCGUCGGCAGGCAGACCGUCUAGAGAGAGACCUUGCGCGCUGGAAGGAUGUCGCAGAGGCUGAGGGCCAGACCAUGGGUUCUGUGCUGUUAUGGCUCGGCAGCAACGACAUGUACAAGAAGGACGGAGAACGGGUAUCCGACCCAAUGGAUACCAUCAAGGAGGUGCUCGAAGUCCUGGCCGAAAAGGACGUGAUCAUGAUCGGACCCCUUCCACGAGCCUGCGACCGGGGGCGGCGGUGGGAAGACACAAGGGCGUACUGGUUCGAGAGGUCCCUAAAGCGUGCUCUCCCCAGCCGAUGCCGCCUGUACAAGCCCGGCCACAGGCUAACCCACAUGCUGCGGAGGCAGCGUGUCGUUGGAGACGGCACGCAAAGGGACGGUCGCGUCAUCCCAUGGUACCGCCCAGACGGGGUCCAUCUGACCCCAGAAGGCUACCGGAAGAUAAGUGACCUGCUCCCACGGGGAUACCUUGGAAGCGUUUAGGAGGACGGGACAUCACCCCAGCAGCGGCACCACCACCACCAGCAGCAGCAGCAGCAGCAGCAGCAGCAGCAGCAGCAGCAGCAGCAGCAGCGUCGCAGCGGUGGUAAUGAUGGGAGAUGUUGUCAUGAGUGCUGUGCGGUGGCUGCUCAGCGCGGGGAGAGUGUUGGAGUGAUCUGGGGUUGCAGUGUUUUGUUUUGGAAGUUAUGUUUUGGAAGUUAACCGUUAUGUUACUCAGGAGGGUCACCCUGAGGUGGACCCCGAGGUAGGGGCCAUUUCUCUAGGGGGGAGGAGUGUGGCGUAGUUUGGUGUCCUACGUAGUCCUACGCCCGACCACGGGCGUAGGAACCGCGGCGUCCCCGGUUUAUGGCGCGGCCCCGAAGGUCAGGGGCGUGGCCCUGCGCGGCCGGCGCUGGGUCGCGGCGGAGCGGGAGGCGGGCAGUGUGUUGGAGUCGGUUACCGGGAGCGGAGGCAAUAAAGGAGAGUGCACGUC